UACGUAGGUGGCAAGCGUUGUUCGGAAUUACUGGGCGUAAAGGGCGCGUAGGCGCCUUCUAAGUCAGACGUGAAAUCCCUCGGCUCAACCGGGGGAACUGCGUCUGAGACUGGAAGGCUUGAAUCCGGGAGAGGGAUGCAGAAUUCCCAGUGUAGCGGUGAAAUGCGUAGAUAUUGGGAGGAACACCAGUGGCGAAGGCGGUCCCCUGGGCCGGAACUGACGCUGAGGCGCGAAAGCGUGGGUAGCAAACGGG
rnacentral:rRNA from 1 species